rnacentral:lncRNA from 1 species
AAAAGUUUCCUAAUUCAAACAUUACAAGUCUAAAUUCGCUCGCCCACUUAACCAAUGCAAUCUGCUAGAAUACUCCGGAAUCUUUAGAAAAUCAUUCCCUGUUCUCAACCUUGAUGUUUACCACAUGAACGUGGAGUUUACCUUGUUGCUUCAGAUGUCGGACUUCUCUUGACAUCACAGGAGUAUCUAGGUAUUGAUAAUAUCUUCAAACUUGUAACUUGACUGAUCAUGAAACUCUAGACUCGAUGAUUAGAGGAAGAGAGAUAGUGAACCUUGCGGGAGUCUCCUGAACCAUACUAAUCGAGGGACAUAGAGGAACGGACACCAUAAACUGCAGGCAACACAGAAGCCACACAACCUCCGACAAGGCGAAAUAAUAGUUCCCGUCUAACAUUUAACGUGAAAGUUCCGUUGCGAAAAAUUGUUUUGCAAAAUAAUAGUAUAGAUAUAGGUAUUAUCCUUUUCCUUCAAAUCGUUGACAUUUUUUAGUUGAUUGAUAGUUAGAUCUUUAAAAGGUAUUAAAUAAAAAGGAUCGGUGUAUUUUGGUAGAUACUAAAAGAUUUGGGGUAGUAUGUAGUUAAUUAGUAAAAGAUAUUUAGGUUUGCGAUAUUUUAGUAAAUAUCGAACUGGACUUUUAUUGUAAAUACUCUUGAGGCAAUUUUGUCUAUCCUGUUACGAAAGUCAAAAAAAGGAGGAGCCGUAAUGUUUGAAAAUAUAAAAAGAUGUGGGGUCCGUUGCACUAUUUGCACAGUAAAUUUCUUUCUAUUUAUAUGAACGUUUUUCGUUCAUUGUAAUGCAUC